rnacentral:tRNA from 1 species
GGGGAUGUAGUUCAGUGGGAGAACGCUUGUCUGGCAGACAAGAGGGCGGCGGUUCAAGUCCGCUCAUCUCCACCA